GAUGAACGCUGGCGGCGUGCCUAAUACAUGCAAGUCGAGCGAACGGACGAGAAGCUUGCUUCUCUGAUGUUAGCGGCGGACGGGUGAGUAACACGUGGAUAACCUACCUAUAAGACUGGGAUAACUUCGGGAAACCGGAGCUAAUACCGGAUAAGAUUUUGAAGCGCAUGGUUCAAAAGUGAAAGACGGUCUUGCUGUAACUUAUAGAUGGAUCCGCGCUGCAUUAGGUAGUUGGUAAGGUAACGGCUUACCAAGGCAACGAGGCAUAGCCGACCUAAGAGGGUGAUCGGCCACACUGGAACUGAGACACGGUCCAGACUCCUACGAGAGGCAGCAGUAGGGAAUCUUCCGCAGUGGGCGAAAGCCUGACGGAGCAACGCCGCGUGAGUGAUGACGGUCUUCGGAUCGUAAAACUCUGUUAUUAGGGAAGAACAUCUGUGUAAGGAACUGUGCACAUCUUGACGGUACCUAAUCAGAAAGCCACGGCUAACUACGUG
rnacentral:rRNA from 1 species